GUUAUAUUUUACCUCUUUCCCUAAGAUGAUCUUCUGGUAUUCUUAGGGGUUUGUGAUGUGUAUGAAUUUGUGUGUGUGUGUGUGUGUGUGUGUGUGUGUGUGUGUGUGUGUGUGUGUGUGGUACACACACGUGCUCAUCUCUACAAAUGGUUCAAAGCUCCACCAAUGACAUUCUCUCCCAUUUUUGGUGUCCAAAUACCCCAAUUCCAUUUAAUGAUAUAAUUUCAAAGCAAUUUUUACAAAGGGAUAUUUACUUCAAAGAUAUAGCAGGAGCACACAUACAAACAUUUUUCACCUCCAGUACCUGCAUAUAUAUAAUACUCUCUAUACCACUUUAGUCUCUGAGGAAGGGAGUUACUGGCUUAACUCAAGUCUUAAAUAUUGUUAAUUCCACAAAAUUAUUUUUGCAGAGUGCCCCUCUCAUGGGCUUGCCUUCUGACAUACUGGCUUCUCAAUAUUUCCUUAGUGGGACAUAAGAUCAUCAUAGAAUCCUAGUUCCAGGGUAUCCAUGACUCCAGGUCUGAUUCAGGAACUCCAGUCUUUCCUUCAUUAUUAUCUUCUCUUUCCUACUCUCUUCCUUCCUUCCUUCCUUCCUUCCUUCCUUCCUUCCUUCCUUCCUUCCUUCCUUCCUUCCUUCCUUCCUUCCUUCCUUCCUUUCUUUCUUUCUUUCUUUCUUUCUUUCUUUCUUUCUUUCUUUCUUUCUUUCUUUCUUUCUUUCUUUCUUUCUUUCUUUCUUUCUUUCUUUCUUUCUUUCUUUCUUUCUUUCUUUCUUUCUUUCUUUCUUUCUUUCUUUCUUUCUUUCUUUCUUUCUUUCUUUCUUUCUUCCUUCCUUCCUUUCUUGCUUUGCUUCCUUCAUUCCUUCCUUUCUUUCUUUCUUUCUUUCUUUCUUUCUUUCUUUCUAUCUGUCUUUCUUGCUUUCUUUCUGUCUUUCUUUCUGUCUUUCUUGCUUUCUUUCUUUCUUUCUUUCUUUCUUUCUUUCUUUCUUUCUUUCUUUCUUUCUUUCUUUCUUUCUUUCUUCCUUCCUUCCUUCCUUUCUUUCCUCCUGCCCAUCCAUUGAGGUAUCUUCAUCAUCAACUUUAUAAUCAAUUACUUGUCUCUGAAUAGUAGCUAGUUUCAAUAUAAAUUAUGUCAUGCUUGGAUUUAGCAAUAGCAUUUCCUCAGGCUUCAUUAUUAAAUUGUCUUUGAGGCAAAGCUACCCAUUAAAGUUUUGUAGGUUAUUUUGAAAUAAAAUAUGAGACUGAUAGGAUGAAAUGAAUUUA
rnacentral:lncRNA from 1 species